GAGAGAGACAUGCGCGCAUAUCAAUAAGCGGAGGAAAAGAAACUAACAAGGAUUCCCUUAGUAACGGCGAGUGAAGCGGGAAGAGCUCAAAUUUGAAAUCUUCAAGGUUUACCUUGACGAAUUGUAGUUUAAAGAAGUGUUUUCUGCUGAAGUUUUGGUAAAAGUUCUUUGGAAUAGGACAUCAUAGAGGGUGAGAAUCCCGUAUUUGACCAUUAUUUUCAGCUUUGUGAUACACUUUCAAAGAGUCGGAUUGUUUGGGAAUGCAGUCCAAAAUGGGUGGUAAAUUUCAUCUAAAGCUAAAUAUUGGCGAGAGACCGAUAGCGAACAAGUACCGUGAGGGAAAGAUGAAAAGAACUUUGAAAAGAGAGUUAAACAGUACGUGAAAUUGUCAAAAGGGAAGCGUUUGACACCAGUGUUGUUUUCUCGAAAAUCAAUUAAAAAUGGCUCGAUUUUGUAUUGCUUGAGACCUUAAAAGCUCACUGUACAUUUUUCGUGUCUUUUUUAAUGCACUUUUCGUUUAACAAGUCAACAUCAGUUUCUUUUGUUGUAAAAGGGUCAUUGGAAGGUGGCUUUCUUUUCGGAGAAAGUGUUUAUAGCCUUUGGCCUCUGCAAUCGGAGAGACUGAGGUCUGCAGCGUAGACUCUUCGGGGUUAGAUACAUUUGUGCUAAGUUAUAGCUUCUUAUAGACAACUUGUUGACUAUAACUAGUCUUGUAGCUUACUCGCUUAUGCUAUUUUACCUACGCUUAGGAUGUUGAGUCGUAGAGCACGCAG
rnacentral:rRNA from 1 species